rnacentral:piRNA from 1 species
UUUCAGAGGGACUUGCGGCCACGAUGCUGU